ACGCUGGCGGCGUGCUUAACACAUGCAAGUCGAACGGGGAUGCUUAUGGAAGGAGUGCUUGCACUUUGAAAAUGAGUAUCUUAGUGGCAGACGGGUGAGUAACGCGUGGGUAACCUGCCCCAUACCGGGGGAUACCACCUGGAAACAGGUGCUAAUACCGCAUAACCGCACGGGAGCGCAUGCUCCUGUGUGAAAAACUCCGGUGGUAUGGGAUGGACCCGCGUCUGAUUAGCCAGUUGGCAGGGUAACGGCCUACCAAAGCGACGAUCAGUAGCCGGCCUGAGAGGGUGGACGGCCACAUUGGGACUGAGACACGGCCCAAACUCCUACGGGAGGCAGCAGUGGGGAAUAUUGCACAAUGGGGGAAACCCUGAUGCAGCGACGCCGCGUGAGUGAAGAAGUAUUUCGGUAUGUAAAGCUCUAUCAGCAGGAACGAGACAAGACGGUACCUGACUAAGAAGCCCCGGCUAACUACGUGCCAGCAGCCGCGGUAAUACGUAGGGGGCAAGCGUUAUCCGGAAUCACUGGGUGUAAAGGGAGCGUAGACGGCUGAGCAAGCCUGAAGUGAAAGGCGGGGGCCCAACCCCCGGACUGCUUUGGGAACUGUACGGCUGGAGUGCAGGAGAGGUAAGUGGAAUUCCUAGUGUAGCGGUGAAAUGCGUAGAUAUUAGGAGGAACACCAGUGGCGAAGGCGGCUUACUGGACUGUAACUGACGUUGAGGCUCGAAAGCGUGGGGAGCAAACAGGAUUAGAUACCCUGGUAGUCCACGCCGUAAA
rnacentral:rRNA from 1 species